rnacentral:rRNA from 1 species
ACGGGUGAGUAAUGCCUAGGAAUCUGCCUGGUAGUGGGGGACAACGUUUCGAAAGGAACGCUAAUACCGCAUACGUCCUACGGGAGAAAGCAGGGGACCUUCGGGCCUUGCGCUAUCAGAUGAGCCUAGGUCGGAUUAGCUAGUUGGUGAGGUAAUGGCUCACCAAGGCGACGAUCCGUAACUGGUCUGAGAGGAUGAUCAGUCACACUGGAACUGAGACACGGUCCAGACUCCUACGGGAGGCAGCAGUGGGGAAUAUUGGACAAUGGGCGAAAGCCUGAUCCAGCCAUGCCGCGUGUGUGAAGAAGGUCUUCGGAUUGUAAAGCACUUUAAGUUGGGAGGAAGGGUUGUAGAUUAAUACUCUGCAAUUUUGACGUUACCGACAGAAUAAGCACCGGCUAACUCUGUGCCAGCAGCCGCGGUAAUACAGAGGGUGCAAGCGUUAAUCGGAAUUACUGGGCGUAAAGCGCGCGUAGGUGGUUUGUUAAGUUGGAUGUGAAAUCCCCGGGCUCAACCUGGGAACUGCAUCCAAAACUGGCAAGCUAGAGUAUGGUAGAGGGUGGUGGAAUUUCCUGUGUAGCGGUGAAAU